UACGUAGGGGGCAAGCGUUAUCCGGAAUUAUUGGGCGUAAAGGGUGCGUAGGUGGUUUCGUAAGCGCGGGGUGAAAGGCAAUAGCUCAACUAUUGUAAGCCUUGCGAACUGUAAGACUUGAGUGCAGGAGAGGAAAGCGGAAUUCCUAGUGUAGCGGUGAAAUGCGUAGAUAUUAGGAGGAACACCAGUGGCGAAGGCGGCUUUCUGGACUGUAACUGACACUGAGGCACGAAAGCGUGGGGAGCAAACAGGAUGAGAUACCCUGGUAGUCCACGCCGUAAACGAUGAGCACUAGGUGUCGGGGCCGCAAGGUCUCGGUGCCGCAGUUAACGCAUUAAGUGCUCCGCCUGGGGAGUACGCACGCAAGUGUGAA
rnacentral:rRNA from 1 species